rnacentral:lncRNA from 1 species
ACCGCUGCAAGGAUGGAUGACCCCUUUUUUGCAACCAAGCUCUGCUGAAAAGAUGAGGGGGAAAUGGUAUUUGUUUCUGCUGCAUCGUUGGAAGAUUUGAUCCAAAAUUUGUCAGGUGUUGAAUCUUAAUCAUCUAGAGUUUGAUAAGGUGAGAAAGAUCCCAGAAUUUAUUUUGCUGAAGGCGUUUUGUUCAAAAAUUUCUCCAUGGUAUUUUGGACGACGUCAACAAUUAAUCAGAAGAAGAUUCUUGCAUUUGAUUGAAUAAAUUUAUUUUGGAGACUAUUACCAGUCAAAAUGUGUGGUGUGGUCCUUCAGGUUCAGGGCAUUAGGUUGUGCGUAAUUCAUGUAUGUUGCCUGCAUGUGUGGCCGAGCUGGUACAGGAGACAGUUACACUAUUCGUACCACCUGAUCGCAUUAUCAAGCUCACAUUACGGUACUGUUCAGUGACCAUCACCUACAUGAUUUGGUUCCUGACUGACAGGCUGAUCGCAGACCAAGCUCGAGUGGAAGAAGGGGACCAAGGUCACGUUCGAGGGCAUGGGUUCGGUUUUCAUCUUCUCAUUAGACGAAAUCAGCAUAUGCACCUAUGGCCUUAAUUACCUAUUUUACCAUUAUUUCUUCCACCCUUCUUUAUUUGUAGAAAUCCAGGAAGGGCGAUUUCAUGUCACAUAUGAACAUCCCUGUACUUAAUAAAAUCAGAUUAUCAUGUAUAUCAUGAAGAUUCAUCUAUAUUCAUCUCCCGUGGACGGUUAAACAUUGUGAAGUUUAUAUUGUGAGAUAUAAUAGUUUAAGGAUUUUUCUAUACAUGGUUGGUUUUCGAAAUACUAAGCAUGUUUAAAUAGCUUUGAGAGGUAUGCUAUUGUGAACUCUGAAGCCCUCUUAAUGUAUUCUUUUUAUUGGAAGAAUUAUGCUAUUUACUUUUGUUAAGCAUGUUUCCCAUUCUAUUCCAUUUCAUAAAAUACUUCUUAAUUUGACUUGAUAUAUAUGUUCUUUCAGGAGGGAGGGAGCUUUAGAUGUUAUGUCUUCACAAUGUUAGCUGCACCUGCAUGGCCAUAGAGUAUUAGUAUCUCAGUUCAUUGUCUUCUGAUAAUGAUGCUUGCAAAUAAUCUGCAAUCUCCAUUGCUGAUAGUAGGAUUUGUAACUAGGUAUAAGUGAGCUACUAAAAUGAUAUAGUUUUUACUUUGAUGGUGUCUUGAGUCACCAAUUGCAAAGAUUUGUAUGACCAAAUGAUAUAGUUUUAUGUUGUAUUUGUUUUGCAACCUACAGAUUGUGUUUGUCCUUUCAAGUUAUGUUUCCAUGCUAAAUCCAGUAAAGGGCUAUAGUUUCUCUUCUGGUAUUCAUGUUAUCAAGAUAUUUGGCUUAUCUGAGUCCAAGCAAAAGGAAAUUGAUUUGCCAAGUUCUUUCUCGAUUAAGUUGUUCUACUAUUGAGCCAAAACCAGGUAAGCAAGAAAUAGUUUAGUGCCAGUGGUUUUAUGUAUGGAUUUGGUUUACAUAUAUUUCAGGGGGAAAUUGCACAACAAGAAACUCCGUUUGAUCAUUAUAAAGCAACUAUUUUUUUGACCUUUGUAAACAACUAAGUUUGUUGAUCGUCCAGGAGCUAUACUUUAGUUUUGAUUGCACAAGAUAGCAACGUACUCAAUAUUGUCAAAAUAAUCUCAUCUGCACUUCAUGCAAUCUCUUAAAAAUUAUUAACCAAACAUCCCGCAGCAACGAGCGGGGUUUUAUCUAGUAUCAUAAGACUACAAACACAACCGACAACAUACAUAAUAGGCACAAAAUUGCUAUUCUCAUUAGAUCUUCAAAGUUUAAGCCUGCUUGAGAAUCACAGCGGUCGAGUAAGGUGGGAUGAUGUGGGUAGAGAAACUUUAGCGUUUGUUGUAACGUGGCCAAUUGGUAACGUGGGUGACACAUUUUUCAUCCUUUGCACGUAGCAACGCGCCGGCAUUGUCCCAGUAAUGCUAGCAUCCGGGACGUUUUGGCUUCUGGCAUCGACGGCUCUCGCCGGCGUUGGAUCCCAGCCGGCGGAGCGCCAUUGAAUAAUCACAGUGUGAUGUAGGCGUGGGAACGCCAAAGACUUGACCAGGUUAUUUUUUGACUCAAGACUGCAGGACUAAAUUGUUUUUCAAGUACAAACAAAUCUUGCAAAUUUUGCCAUUUGUUUGUGCGACCAACGACGCAAUUUUAUUUGUACUAUUUAGUCCUGCAGUCUUGAGUCAUUGAUCGUGGUGUGUUAGCAAUCGAUAUUAUUAUCGACCCACCAAGGAAAGCAGAGCGUGCUCCAAACCGUCGACCAACCGAUCGGCAUGGCUGCUGGGGGCGGCGAGCCGGCGCUGCGGUCCAAGAGCGUGUGCGUGGUGGGGGGCGGCGUGGCCGGCCUGGCGGCGGCGCGCGAGCUGCGGCGGGAGGGUCACGCCGUCACGGUUAUGGAGCAGAGCGCCGACGUGGGCGGGCAGUGGCUGUAUGACCCCAGGACCGACGGCGAGGACCCGCUUGGCGCCGCGGCGCCGGUGCGCGUGCCCAGCAGCAUCUAUGCUUGCCUCCGCCUCAUCAGUCCGCGCGAGGCCAUGGGCUUCUCCGACAUCCAGUUCUUCCCCAGGGACGGCCCUGGCCGCGACUCGCGCCGCUUCCCAGUCCACGGCGAGCUGCACUGCUACCUCCGGGACUUCUGCGACGCCUUCGGCCUCAUGGACGCCGUCAGGCUCAACACCCGGGUCCUACUCGUCGCCCCGGCACCGACGUCGACGACGACGAUGCGUCAGUGGACGGUGAGGUCCGCGCGGCUCCUCGGCACCACCGAGGAUGAUGAUGUUGCGCAGGAGGAGGAGCAGGAGGAGGUGUUCGAUGCCGUGGUGGUGGCCACAGGCCACUACUCGCAGCCGAUGCUCCCGAGCGACAUCGAGGGCAUGGGGGAGUGGACGCGCCGGCAGCUGCACAGCCACUCGUACCGGACGCCGGAGCCGUUCCGCGGCGAGGCGUUGGUGGUGGUCGGCUGCGCGGAGAGCGGCAAGGACAUCGCGCUGGACCUCUGCCGCCAUGCCGCGUCGCCAGGGAGGUGCACCUUGCCGCGAGCUACGAGGCCACGGCCGCCACGCCGGCCAUGUCGAGGAUGCUGGCCAACCACGGCGACGUGCUGCGCCUGCACACGCGGAUCCACCGUCUUCACGCCGACGGGCGCGUGGAGUUCGCGGACGGCUCCUCCGUCGUGGCCGACACGGUCAUCUACUGCACGGGGUACACCUACUCGUUCCCGUUCCUGGACAUGGGCGGCGCGGUCACCAUCGAUACCGACGGCCACGUCGUCGGCCCGCUGUUCGAGCACGUGUUCCCGCCGUCCCUCGCGCCGUCGCUGUCCUUCGUGGGCGUGGCGAGGAAGGUCCUCAUCCCGUGGUUCUUCGAGGCGCAGGCGCGGUGGGUGGCGCAGGUGCUGUCCGGCCGCCGCGCGCUGCCGUCGGAGGAGGAGAUGCUGCGGUCCGUGGAGGAGCACCUCCGCGCGAGGGAGGCAGCCGGCGUGGCGAGGAAGCACACCCACAACAUCGCCGGCAUCGAGCCUGAGAAGAUGUACGAGUUCGGGGAGAGGUACUCCGACUUGCCGCCGCUGGAGGAGUGGAAGAAGGAGCUGGUCAUGUCCAGCCUCGCCAGUAUGUUGGCCGACGUGGAGACCUUCCGCGACCGUGCCUACGACGACAGCGAGAUCGUGCGGAAGGGCCUGCGGGGAUGGCUCGACUUGGCUGCUCAAGCUCAAGCAAAAUCUAUGGCUGUUGCCGUUGACGUUGAAGCUGAUGUGCAGGCCAUGGCUAAUUAAGCUGUCCUUCUCAGCGGAAUUACGAGUAGACCGCGUGACAUGUAAGAGGUUUUUAUUUUUAUUUAUUUUUGCAGGAAAGAUUCAAUCUCAUUCCCUUCGAGUUUCAAUUAAUAAUUGCCUCAUGAGCAAAAAAGUUUGGUUACAAAAAAAGACUGUGUCAUUGAAUUCAAGUAUGAUUGUCGAAACGUAGAAAUAGAAAAAAAAACAUCGAAUUCUCAUAGACCCACUUAUAGAAGCACUUGAGCAUGGUUUCGGCCUAUAACCAGAGGGAAUGUUUUUCAAAACCGACCUGAUUUUGGGCAUUCAUAGAGGGAAACGACAGUCAUGCGAUAAGCGAGGUAGAGGUUCGUCUAUCCAGAGUAGCCAUUCAAGGAGACAAGUACUACCAUUGUACAUUACAUCAUCCACCAUCCACCUUACAACUGAGGCCGGUGGUUCCUCAACCGACAACGAGGGUGAUGUUGAGACCGCCAGCCUAGCUAGCUCAUGAGAGACACAGUUUGCCUCCUAGGACAAUGGGCGAAAGACACUGAAGUAUAACCUACCGAUAAGAUAUUGCAGUCUGCAUAAAUUGUCGCUGCUCCUGUCACAAUGAAGCCGCCCACAUUCAUCGUGUUGAUCACCUCCAAGUAAUCUGCUUCCACCACCAGCUUGCUUACUCCCAUCUGUUGAGCCAGAAGAAUCCUGUGUUGCACUGCAUAUGCCUCUGCUGAAGUUGCGUCCGAAACAUGCUCAAGUUUUUCAUUGGAUGCUGCUAUGAAUCCUCCUUUGUCAUCCUGCAGCACAUCCCCGGCCGCUCCUUUAAGAGUUUGUACAUAAAAUGUUGUGUCAACAUUAAGCUUAACAUGCCCCUCCUUUGGCUUAGUCCAUCCUUCUUUCUUCACACCCGCAUCAUUCUUCCUCGCCUUGACAUAGUUCGCUGUUAGAGUUGAGAUCGACAAGGCCGAAUGAGCAGGCUUUUGCACAUAUUCUCCAUGGACUUGUUGCCUUCUUUCCCACCACACAUAUAACAAAUGCCCACGAGGAUUAAGACCUAUGCACUCACAUCCGGAAGCAAACGUUCUCUCAUUGGCGCACACAAAAUAUAGUCCAGCAACAAUGAACCGGCUCGGUCCACUUCGCAUGCCUCCUCCACAAAACCAUCCAAAUUUAGACACCUCCAGAUCUCUAUUGCUCUUGCACAAGUAAACGGCACAUGAUUGAUAUCCUCACAUCCUCCUGCACACAUUGGACAGUUCCUGGGCAUAGCAAUAUGUCGGUUUGCCAAGAUUCCGAAGCAUGGUAUAAAACCAUGCAGCACUUUCCAUGCAUGUAUUUUUAUUUUAGCCGGCAGUGAAUUAUCCUACCACUUCAUCAAAUACUGGAUAUUGUUGUAACGGUUCUCCUACAAUUCUCUCAAAAUAGCGCCCGAAUUGAUGAUCCCACUCUGCAUAAUACGCCGAUCUGACCGUGAACAUGUUAUUCCUUGUGAACCUCCAUGCCAAAAAAUCCUCCAUCAUUCCUUGCGGCGCAAACGGAAUAGAUAAGAUUCUCUCCGCUUCUACCUGCCAAAACAUGUCAUUGAUAAUUAAGAUCUUGAUCCCAUACUCCUGUUGGCGGAUCAAUAAGGUCUCACACUUUUGAAAGCAGGUUUGCUCCUCUCGGGGUAACUAUGCAUCCGUUUGCACUCGUGGCAAUCCAUGGAUCAGACCAAAUAUUAACUUGUGAGCCAUCCUCGAUCCUCCAAAUUGCCCCCAACAUGUGCGCAUAGUGAGUCGGGAUUUUCCAUAAGUCUGCAUACCUGCUUGGCCAGCGAGGCGAGAUUAAAACUAUGCAAAUCUCGGAAUCCCAACCCCCCCCCCCUUUGUUCUUCGGAAUACAAAGUUUCCACCAUGUUGCCCAAUGUGUCCUCUUCUCCUAUGAUUGUCAUCAUCACCCCACCAGUAUCUUGAUAUGGCGUCUGGCAUACCACCACUUUCUCUUCCACUUCCAAGUUUGAGCUGAAGUACACCCAGGUUCUGAGAAGCUCCUUUAUUGCUAUAAUUCUUGUUGAACCUUUUCUAAAGUCAACAAUUUCUGCAAUCAGGGAGAAGGCUUGCUAUACCUUAAAUUCCAAAACCACGACAAUUAUUGUGCGGCUAUCAUUUAUCUUUCUGUUGUAUGGUAUAACAUACAAAUGGUGUCAAGAUUAUAUCCUGAUAGGGUGUUCAACUAUGUUGGUAGAUGGAUGCAUGUUCUUGCUGUUAAAUUAAGGGCUCAAUUAUUGGUUGAUAUAUCGGCGCUGUGUUGGUCAUCAUUGCGUUUAUGUAGAAAAUGAUAUGGUCUUGUACGAGAGGAAUAUAUCUCCUCCAUCGUAGGUUGUAUUCUUAUGUACUUAUUAGCUAUGUACCAGUCUAUUGUUUUACCGUGUGGUCGGUGUAUGCGCAACUUAAGCAGGUGGACACAUAUGUGUGUACAUAGAGUGGACUGAGGUCUAGGCAUCAGAAGAAGUGCUUCUCCAUCCUAGUGUUUUUUUUCUUCUUCUCUCUUGCCCCGAACUGUUUUUUUAGUGAUCUUCAGGUAAUAUUUGUGUGCAUUCUCAAAACUAUAUGUUGGCCAUUAAACCCAUAUAUCAUUGUUAAAAAGCUUUUCAUUUUUCAGAAGUCUUACCUUGGUUUUUAUUAACAGCUGGGGAGUGGCCCAGCAAAAUGGGUUGUCUGGCCUUUUUCUGUUCGUGCUGGAGUGGGUCUUUAUCGAAAGAUUCGGUUCGGUAGAACCUCCCUCUCCGAGUCAAUGCAUCGUUCGGUCUAGGGCUCCUCCAGAUCGAACAUUCGGUACAUCUCGGUGUCCUAAUUUAAAGUUGCAACAAGAAUGUAGUACACGCACCUACUCUUAGUAUGUACUCUGAAGUAAGAGCUCCUUUACGGUGAUUGGGGCAGUACUGGGAGUACUUUCGAGUACUUACCCCUCCAAAUUUUAUUAGUCGUCCGAUCUGGCGGGGGAUUAAAAAUGAAUUAACCUAAUUAUUUUAAUCAGAGAAGGGCAUAAUGGUCCAGGGUAAAAUAUUCUGUUUUCAACCGAUCACGUCCACGACGUCUAGAUCCAGUCCUCGUUCUCGUCCUCUUCCUUCUGUCCGACGAGCCCGGCGAGAGGUACCAACAACGUCGUCGGCGUCGUCCUCGUCCUCCACCUCGUCCCCUUCACUGUAAACGACGUGCCCGGCGGCAGGAAGAAGAUUAAGGCGUGACAUCUGCGGCGGUAGUGUCAGCGGUGGCGGUGGCGGCGCUAUAGGAACUCGCCCCCGCCGAUCACAUCGCUUUCGGGCUUGCAUACUAAGGUAUGAAUCGCCCGAAUCUCAACUCCUCCCCGUUUGAUUGGCCCGUUGGAAGUGACUCUUGGCAGGAACUCCAACUUCCUCGUAGAUGGAUCUAUACUCUGCGGUUGGCCCCUCGGUUAGGCCGCCGGGAGAUAUCAAUUCUUGUUCUGAAAGUAGGCUUGUUUUUCUUGAUGCAGUAGGAGAUAUCAAUGCCUGCGGGAGAUAUCGCCAUAAACUUACUUUGUUUCGUAGCCUGCACUUCCUACUUAGAUUUGUUUAGUCAUCAUCGAUUUAGGUUCCCCUAGUGCAUGCAAUUCAAUUUAGAAUUUUUCAUCAUCCAUGUUUAUGGGGGACCCACUUUAUGGACAUUUAUGAUCGCUUGCCAUAACAUGUACAAGGAGCAAAGUUUAAAAUUCCACGCAAGCUUUCGUACUGGGUUUUGCAUGCAUUUAUGUUUGUCCUUUCAGAUUUUUAUUCGUCUGAAUUAUGAUGCAGGAAGACAUGGCGGAUGUAAGUCAUGAGUCAAUGAUGGAUUACUAUCAUAUUGCCAACAAGAUGUUUAAUAGUGAGGAUGAAGGUUAUACAUUCUAUAACAAAUAUGGUCUUGAGAAAGGUUUUAGUGUCCGGAGAAGCUAUGUCGAGUGGGAUGGAUCCAAUUGCCAUAUAAUUUUAAGGAAAUUUGUGUGUAGUCGUGAAGGGGUUCGUGAAGAGAAGCACAUGAAGAGGAAGAUGGAAGAUAGAAAGAGGAGGCCACAGAGUAUAACUCGUGUAGGGUGUAAAGCUAAAUUGGUGAUUGCAAGACAGGAGGAAACAGGUCAGUGGUUUGUCAAGGAUUUCAUCGAUGAACACAACCAUCNNNNNNNNNNACCAGUCAAAAUGUGUGGUGUGGUCCUUCAGGUUCAGGGCAUUAGGUUGUGCGUAAUUCAUGUAUGUUGCCUGCAUGUGUGGCCGAGCUGGUACAGGAGACAGUUACACUAUUCGUACCACCUGAUCGCAUUAUCAAGCUCACAUUACGG